UACGUAGGGGGCAAGCGUUGUCCGGAUUUAUUGGGCGUAAAGAGCUCGUAGGCGGUUUGUCGCGUCUGCCGUGAAAGUCCGGGGCUCAACUCCGGAUCUGCGGUGGGUACGGGCAGACUAGAGUGAUGUAGGGGAGACUGGAAUUCCUGGUGUAGCGGUGAAAUGCGCAGAUAUCAGGAGGAACACCUAUUGCGAAGGCAGCUCGCUGGGACGUAACUGACGCUGAGACGCGAAAGCGUGGGGAGCAAACAGG
rnacentral:rRNA from 1 species